UUUUUCUCCUGGACAACCAUAACUACACUCUCGGCAUUUAUCUUCGAGUUGAAUAUACGAAGCAUAAGGUUUUGGCCUUGACAAAGAAGUAUUCCUUACAGCAGAGCUUGAAUUUCUGAAUCCAAAGAUGAAUUUACUUUAUUUAAUCUUUUUUUUUGCUGAAAUUUAACUUAAUUAUUGCCAGACAAUUCUUUUUAAUAUAUAACAGGCAAGCUAAAGUUAUAAAUUUUGAUCUUAUAAAUUCAACAAACUAUCAAAAUAAGUAAUGUGGGUUAAUUUUGUUUAAAUGUAUGUUUUUUGAAAGAAAAAAAGAUGUUAGGUAAAUUAACAUAAAAUGUCAAUUUUAAUCUAUAAAACUUUAAAUAGCAAAUUUAUUACAUUCAUCCUAUCUAAAUUCUGCACUAAACUACAUUAAGUAUUUGUUAUUCUGUAUGUAAUCAUCAAAUAUUGUAUUUCAAGUAUAUUUUGUAUUUUGGUAUAUAUUUUAUGUACUUUUGAAAAAUUCUACAAACAUGUAUCAAUUUUAUAAUGAAAUCAAAGUUAUUGGUUUAUCCCUUUAACCGUUUUGUUUCAAUGGAUAUCUAUACUAUACUAAAAGCCAGAUAUUCUCAAUGGAGAAGGGAUCCACGUCACAUUAAUAAUUCAGACCAAUCAUAGAGUUGUAUUGUGCCAUGUCAUAUGUUCCUCACACAUCCAAAAUUAGUUCGACGACUUCGUCUUCCUCCUUUUCCUCGAAGAAAUCCCAACCGUUUCACCUCUUCUCCUCUGUAACAUUAAAAUUGUGACUCAUAAAGCUUUAUCAUUUAGUGCAAUCACUAUAUAAUCUACCUCUUCACAUCCAAUUUUGCUGAGGAGAAGAAGAACUACAACGUAGAAUCUAUAUUUCCCCGGUCAUGCCAAUGUCAUCAACUCUGGAUCAAGCGCUAAAUCUCUGUCAUCAACCAAACACUGAUCAUGAAGAAAUCAGCAAACUCCCAUCUUCAAAAGCCAAGGAUAACAGAAAGUCAUCAUCCAACUUUCCAGACUUCUGCAACUGGUCUCCAUGAGCUCCAAACUACGUGUUUAUCCUAAUCGUUAAGUUCUCAUUCUUUGGGUUCUUGAUCUUCCAUUACAUCAGAUUCAUCACCGUUAAAUCCUUCAAGAUUUUCUAACAGCGAGAUGGCUUCACCAAAAUGGAACUGAGGUGAAACACAGUCUGGAAACUCAAAUUCCUAUUGGCUCCACCUUCAUCACCAUCGGUAUCCAAAGAAGCCAGUGCCGUCCUAAUACUUUGAUAGUGAUUAAGUUGAGGCUUGAGGCGUAUUGAUGGCACAACGACCAGAUUGUUCUACUUCAUAUGAUAGUUUAGUCGGAUCCUGUAACACACUUUUGAGAAUAACCAUUUACAAGUACCUACUGCUUAAUCCACGAAAGUCUUUUGUCUCCACGGGAAGGUCUCCCAUCGUCCUGUAUUAUAACAAUCAAGGGAGUUAGGCAUGGAUAUAAGAUCAGAACGAUUGUUGGUUUUGAAGCAUAACCCGUGUUCCGAUCAUGUCAGAGCUCCCAAAACAACACGGAUGACCAUAGUCAGAAUCAAGUACAGUUCCGUCUACCGUGAGAUCAAUAUUAGCCCUCAUAAGAAUAUUAAUUCUGUGUGUGUAAAUUUGAAUAUUUUUCUUGAUUGGAUGCAGUGGAGUAAUUUUUAGAGUUGUAAUAUAAGUUUGAGCUAAACCUUUUCUGGGUUUUAACUUUUAAGUUUUCAUGUUGAAUUCUUCCUGACUUUUAUGUAUACUUUUUUUUCUGUAGUAUGAAAUUCUUUGAAACUUAUGAAUUCUCACCUCAGUUAACAACGAGGUCGUCAAGAAAACCUAUAAGUAGUCCAAGAAGGUAAAUUUAAUAGUCCUAAACUGUUUUUGUGUUUUCAACUGCAGAAGGGUAAGUGACAAUCACUUCUAGGGAACCAUCUCAGAGUGUAUUGGCAACUGGUCUCAGCUUAAAAAUCUGUAAGUUGAUUAGCAAAUGGAAACUAAAGCAGGACUCAUGUUUAAAGCGAUUUUUUUUAUAAGACUGGCACAAUAGAACACAAACUGUGUGUGAUCUGGCGUGUAGAAAAGGACUUGACGUCCUCGACCUUCCACCUGAUAUCCAACCACACUCGAGAAGGAGUACUUCAAGAACCAUCAUUGUCUCUAAAAUCGUACAUGGGAAAACUCUCCAUAAGUUUGGGGCAUGUAACUGGUACACUGAUACGUACUCCUGCAGGAUAUGUACAUUCUUAGAUGUUCAUUUUCUUCAUCUUAUUUAGAUUAAAGGGGCAGUAACCUUGAAGAAGAUGAUAGGGAUGGGUUUUCCUUUGUUAGACGUGAUAUACCCGUAACCCGCCACUAGCGCUGAAAAGCCUUCUGGCUAAGGUUGUGAAGUUGUUCAGCCGUCUACUAAGCUUCUGCCAGUUGCUCAGAUGGGAGUUGUUGGUCGGAGUUGAAUGUAUCUUCAACAUAAUUGGAAUCGCACAUGACAAAUCAAGUUGGCUUCUCGAUGACGUCCUGCAGUCAUUUAUGAAAGCUCAUGGACCUCUGAAGAUAUCAACAAUUGGGAAUUGGUCAGUUCUCUUACAGUGUCAGAUGACUUUCUGUGCUGCUAUUGUGCCAAAUACCAAACGUAUCAGUGUUAAACUUAGUAAAGCUAAUACAAUCCAACUUUUCUUCUUUGUAUGUGUUCUUUACAUUAAAAGAACAAGAUUCUCCGGUGAGAUCGAGUUGAGAUACUCAUCGGCAAAACCUUGAUGGAACCAUUGUCAUAUGCUUCUUCUGAGUAAUCUCUGGCUACAAGGUUCUGAAAUCGUAACUCGAAGCUCCACGGUGAGAUCGAGACUUUCUAAAAAGAAAAGAAAAGAAAAAUAUUCAUUUCAGUUUAACUAAAAAAAACAAUUUCCAAUCAAAUAAAUUCAGCUAUUAUAUUAUAAAAUUUAUUUAUUUAAAAUUUAGAAUUAAUUUGAAUACAAUGUAAAACGAUAAAAAUUGACAUAGAAGUAAAAAAUAAAUAAUUUAACAAAAUUAAAA